CCGAAGUCGUUGAUGCUCUCAAGUCUCAACUACCUAUUUUAUGAAGGAAUGGAAAAUUUUCCUUUAUGAUUAGAAAACUACCAAUGGAUCCUUCUGAGCCUUCA
rfam:Medicago truncatula strain A17 chromosome 7, whole genome shotgun sequence.